rnacentral:rRNA from 1 species
UACGGAGGGUGCGAGCGUUGUCCGGAAUCACUGGGCGUAAAGGGCGCGUAGGCGGCCUGAUAAGUAGGGGGUGAAAUCCUGCGGCUUAACCGCAGGGCUGCCUUCUAAACUGUCAGGCUAGAGCACAGUAGAGGCAGGUGGAAUUCCCGGUGUAGCGGUGGAAUGCGUAGAGAUCGGGAAGAACAUCAGUGGCGAAGGCGCUCUGCUAGGCCGCAACUGACACUGAGGGACGAAAGCUAGGGGAGCGAAUGGG